rnacentral:misc_RNA from 1 species
UGUGUUAGAAUGGCGACUAACUGUCAAGUGAAAGUGGUUUAGUUACUGAAAAUCGUUAAAAACAAAGUUUGUGGGAGUGCCAUGCCAUUGACAGAUUUGGUUGGACCGAAGUGAUAUCUCAUUACCAUAGCAACAAUGUAACCGUGGCUUCCAACAGUCCUCUUUAGUGAGUGUGAUGGAACUGAUAUGGUUUAUAGUUUAUGGGCCAGUGAUCCUUUCUACCAAGUAUGCCUGUCCAUCUGACUGACAUUUAGCAUGCUGUGGCUGUUACGAGUGUCUGAAGGAUACCAAAGGUUGACCUGCCUGAUAUCAAGAUGAAGCCUGAUGUGUCAGAUUAUGUGGACCAGUAUGUCCGUGCAGUGUACGAUUUCAACUCGACACAGAGAGGGGAAAUAAAUCUCUCAAAAGGGGAGAUAAUUCGUGUGUCAUCAGUGGUGGACAGUAAUUGGCUGAGGGGAAGGAAAGGAGACAUUGAGGGAAGUUUCCCGGUGAGUUUUGUGGAGAAGAUAUGUUUACCUGCUGUACAACUCGGGCAGAAGGUGUUUGGGGCUACAGAGAACUUUCCUUCUCAAGAACAAGGCGACCUGCAGUUCAAGAAAGGUGUAGUGGUCAUUGGUCUGCACCGAAUAGAUGAUAACUGGUGGGAGGGUAAAUCUGGAGGUCAUAAUGGGAUAUUCCCAUUGACACAUGUGAUGGAGCUAGAGGUCCCCUCCUCUCUUCGUGAGAGGUCCAAGAGUGUGCACUCGUCUGAACCAAUGUUUGCCAGAGCCCUUAGGGACUCGGUGGCCCAGCUGGACGAGGAACUAGGGUUCAAGGCUGGGGACAUGAUCACUAUCAAAGAGGUGGUAGAUGCAGACUGGUAUAUUGGAGAGCUGGGCAGUCGCUCAGGCAUGUUCCUGGCAUCCUGUGUUGAGCUAUUACAAGAUACCACUGCCCAGGAUGAUCACUGUAAGACCGACUCACAUCAGGAUAACUCCCGUCAGAACUCCAGUGCUGCGGAGGUGAACAAUGUAAAAAGUAAGCCAUACCAACCAAAUUCUUCUCUACACAAAAGUGAUACAAAUUCUGUAGGUCCUACAGAUAAUACUGUAUCAACUACGAACUCCAAUGUGUCUUCAGAUGCUGAUUUGACUUCACGUUCCACCUCACAUGAGUCAGACAUCACACCGUAUGCACGAACUCUCUACCCCUUUGUAGGACAGUCUGACGACGAAUUGACAUUCCGUGGAAAUGAGAUGGUGUAUCUUAUACAACAUGUGGAUGAUCAGUGGAUAGAAGGAGAAUUGGAGGGGAAAACUGGACUGUUUCCUGCCUCUUACGUGUCCAUAAUUGUUGAUUGCCCUUAUGCAUCUGGUCCAGUAUCGACAGAUCUUUCUUCUGUCGACCAGUCAAGUAAUCAGUGUUCAGUGAUUGGUGGGUCUGAGGAGGUGUCAGAGGGCAGUGUGGACCCACAGUUAAGGAAAACUGAGAGUGUAGUGCAUAAGUUCAGUGGCAGUGAUCCCAAGGUAGGUCGUUAUGGACUGGUCAAGUUCACGUUUGUAGAGGAAAACAGUGGAGACCUGAGUGUCAUGGAGGGAGACACUGUUCUUAUUUUGAAACUUAUUGAUGAGAAUUGGGUCAUGGCCCAGGAUGACAGAGGCAAGGAAGGAAUAUGUCCUAAAAGUUUUGUAGAAAUCUUUGAUGAUAGUCCAGACUUCCAGCCACAAGGAAAGUCAGUUACAGAGUCAGUCAGGCCAGUUGUUGAUGAACAGUUAGCUGGAGUUCAAGUUUACAAGUCACCAAUGCUCAGCAAACAUCAUUCAUUGAACGAAAUUUCAAAAAAUCAAAACAUUGAUAAACCCAAGUCAUUGGUGAAACCUUUGGUGUCCCCAAAGCCAACCCUUAAGCCAAAACCAGCAUUACUUCCAAAGCCUGUUGGGCCCAUGAAGGCCACCUUCCUGUCCAGAGUACACGCCGUUGAGGAGAGUAGCAGUAUGCAGAGGUCUCCGUCCUCUCCUGUGUUACAGAGUGCCAUGGUUCCAGAUGCAAACUCAAAAACUAAAUCUUCCUCUACUUGUGAACUAGAUAGGAUGGGGUUGGGUCAGCCACCAAGAUGGACUGAUGGGCCCGCGAUCAACAAAAACCUUGACUUUCUGAUUGCUGGUGAGAUGGAGAAGGCAAUGGAAGAGACACGUUCCCGAAGCUCAAGCAUUCAGAGUACAACCUCCUCUGGGUCAAGUGUCGGCUCAGUCACAAAAGAUACUGAGGCUCAGGGGUCACUGGCUGUCCCUAUGAGAGCAAAACGUCCUCCUCCACCUAGCCAAACGUCUAUCAACCAACACAGACACACUGUAAAUUUUCCAGUGACCUUUGACUCUUCUGCAACUCAACAACCACGCUUCAGUAAACAGAACAGUCUUGCAACAUCCCCAGGCCUGAAUAGCGGUAAUGAAAUAAGUGUUGGUAACUCCACAUUCUUCACCGACGUCUUGAUCCCAGAUCGAAAAAUCCCUGUCAUGAGGAAGCCUCCGCCUCCUCAAAGGACUGCAUCCAUUGAUACUUUUGACCGCAAGCUGUCAUUGAGAAAACCUCCUCCACCUCGCCCCACAGUCCCUCGGGGUAGUUCACAGGACACUCGGACUGGCAAGACUGUACCUCAUAGGUCUGCUCCCCGCCCUCCCAAAAAUGUGCGUGUUCCGUCCCGCCCCGCUCCACCCACCCCUUCACAGAUGUGCCCUCCUCCCCCCAAGCGACCACCUCCAAGGAGACCUUUGUCAGAGGAAGCCAUUGAAAAGUAUGAAGCCAAUGCCGAGAUCAUUCGGGACUUACGUAACAGGAUACAGGAGGUAGAGCAGGACUUGGAGAAUUGUCGUAAGUGUAAGGGUGAGUUGGAAGUGAUGCUGUACAACAGUCCAGAGGAAGAUCGUGCAGAGGUGUACGACAAUGUAGAAUUCUAUGAUGAAAACAUCAAAGGUCUUACAGACGAGUUGCAAAACCUGAGGGAAACUCUUCAAAAACUGUCUCCGGAGGAAAUGGACGCUGUUGAACAACAGAUGGCCGAAGAGAAACAAAGGCAGGAAGAAGAGAAACGACAGAUAGAGGAAAAGAAAAAACAGGAAGAAUUGAUGCAAAAAAGAAAGGAAAAGCGAUCAAAAGUGAUUGAGGAGUUGGUCCACACAGAAAAGGACUUUUUACAGAGUCUUCAUCUGUGUAUGGAAACUUUCCUUAAUCCUCUGGCAGAAAAGCACCUUGAUGUAGAUAUUGAGCUGAUAUUUGGGAACAUGGAGGAGAUUGCUGAGGUGUCACAACGGUUGCUAACAAUGAUGGAGGAGGCAGUCUGUGCUAGAGAGUUCCAGGAUAUCAUUAUAGGUCCAUGUUUCACAUCACUGGCAGAAGAUAUGAAGAAUGUUUAUGCGCCAUACUGUCGUAACCAUGACGAUGUUAUCAUGGUCAUGGAACGUUACCAUACAAACCCAUCCAUUAAUGAGUACUUUGAGAGAAUGCUGGACAUCCUACGUGAACAGAGUGUCGUGUUUGAUGUGGGAGCUCUCCUUAUUAAGCCUGUACAGCGUAUCCUCAAAUAUCCCCUCCUGCUGAACGAACUCAUCAAGACAACAGAAGAGGGCCACAAGGACAAGUUAGAACUACUUGAUGCCAUCAACACCAUGACAGAUGUGGCAGCAGCUAUCAAUGAGUACAAACGCAGGAAAGACCUGGUUUACAAGUACAAGAAGAUCACUGAUGAAACCCUUGGAGACAAACUGGCCAAACUUAGCCUUCACUCACUGAAGAAAAAGGGCAGUCGCUUCAAGGGCCGACUAUCGACAUCUAUAGGGCUGUCCCCACAAACUAAAGAUGAAACCUUUGACAAAGAAGAGAGCCGUUUCAGGUUAUUGGAGAAAAUUGUGAGGAUUUUUGUACGAGACAUACAGGUGUACAUGGAACAAGUUCAGGAGUCUAUGCAUUAUCAUGAAAGUCUGGUGGUCGAUGUAGAGGAUUUCUAUGAGGAGGUUCCGAAUGUACUCUUGAUAGAGAAAUACAAACAGGUCCACAACCUCAUUGAAAGCCAGUUCCUGCCUGGAUUUGUGACAAGUGUAACAGAUCAAGUUAUCUCCCCUUUGGAGCGUCUGGUUCAGUUUUUCAUAGCUCCAAACAAGGUGAUACAGAAACGAUAUGACAAACUGCUUGACUAUGACUCCAUGUUACGCAAGUCUAAGGAUGACAAGUCACUUGAGAAGGCUCUGGGAACAACAAAGAAGGACUAUGAGGCGAUGAAUGCCCAGUUACUAGAUGAGCUGCCCUCCCUGUACAGCCUGUCACUAAGCCUGCUCCAGGACUGUGUGGCAGCGUUUGUCAGUGCUCAGCAGGCCUACGCUGAUGAUGUCUUACACAGGAUGUCAGAACUUCUAGAUUUGUCGUCGUUGCUGUGUACAGAUCACAGUGUGAUGGAUGUAUUUAACCACAAGCACGUGUCUAUAGUGGACAGAAUGUCACUACUCUCCUUCAUACCCAAGGGCUUCAACCCUCGCAUGGAGCUUAUCAAACAGGACAAGAAGGCUAAACAAAAGACAAUGGAUGUCGCAGACAAGGAAUGUGGGGGCCAAUCAGACAGUCAGCGCAUGUAUGUGACCCAAAAAUACCCCUCAGACAAACUGUACAUAGUUAACGAGAAAUAUACCCCAACAGACACCAUGGACAUUCCCCUCCUGCACAGGGAGUUAGUCGGUGUAGUCAUGGAAAAGGACCCAUUGGGCAACAAGGAUCGGUGGUUUGUUGACAAUGGAGCAUCCAAAGGUUUUGUACCUAAGAAUAUUCUUACACUCUACCAAUCCACGGCUCCACAAUCCUACUCACCUCCUCAAACCUCCACCACAGUGACUAGGACCUGCUCCAUACUGGAGCCUGUACCUGUUGGAGGGGAGAGAGGGACGGGGCUAGCAGCAGCCAAUGUGGAGGACGAUGAGUUUGACUUUGCUUUAGAGGAGGACAUGAGUCCAGAAAUCACAGAGGAGAUCAACGUUUCCAGCUCGAGUGGUUCUGAAGAGUUUUACUUUGCGGAGUUUGGAUUUGAGGCAAGGACUGUUACAGAAGUAUCCAUGUUCGAGGGCCAGGUCGUCACAGUGCUAGCCAAACACGACCAGGAGGGUAACACAGAGUGGUGGCAUGUCGAUGCCGAUGGGCUCCGGGGCUAUGCACCUUCUAUCUACCUCAAACCCAUGAGCUGACUCUAGGUCAAGGUCAGGUCAUCGGGGUCAUUGUAGUGUCAGGCAAUCACUACCACAGUUGAAGGACUGGGCAUGUUCAUCUGAUUCCAGUGUUUGGACUAGAGCUACGAUUGUGAUAAAGUUUGGAGAAUACAGGUUUUUUACUGUGAGAACUUGAGAAUAUAUGUUUCCUAUGAGAUGGAGGUGUAAUGUGGUGCUGUUAUCCAUGAGAGUUACAGACAAAGAAAUAUGCAAAGGAUUUUUUGGUAUGGUUUAUUCAUUAUGACAUUUGAUAGGAAUGCAAAAAAAGCAUGCAUCUGUAAAACAGACAAUAUCAAGGGAGAUUACUCUUAACACAAAUGACAGGUAUAAUGUGUUAGGCAAUGAAGGGUAAAUCAUGUAGAAUAACCAACGGAGACUUACUGCAAGGCUAGUGUGUAAUGUCAAAGUUCAACUUAACUAUGGUAUUACAUUUAUUCAAGGUAGAUGUACCCCCAAAAUGUAAGUGAUACGUGUCCUCACGGAUCUCUUGUUUACUCGAUGGACUCCAAUGGCAGGUGUUCAUGUUAUUGAGAUUGUGGUCAAGGAAGACAUAUUUAUAUUACUUAUCAAUUGAUAAUUGUGUAUGUCUAUGUGUUACUAUCUACAAAUGAUACUGAUGUCUUCCCCUGGAACACUUUUUUUGUGAUGAUCACUACAUGAAUAUUAAACAAAAUUCCAAAAGCCUCAUUGAAAAUACUUGUUAAAUCAUUCUAGGAAAACACAAAUAGAUUGAUAAUUUUUUUGAGAAGAAUCUAUCUGCAACCAGUGAAAAAUAGAGGUAAAAAUAUAAGAAUAGGACUACAACACCUACAACAAUCAAAAGUUAAAAUAAUGUAUAGUUUCUGGAGCAUUUGGAGAAAGAUUUGACAUUUUGAGUAAAAUGAUGUAUGGAUUGAGAAAUUCUGUUAAGUAUUCUCAAAAGUGAUAAAAAUGGGUUUCAGGAGAAAUGUGGAUGAGACAUUGCUGAGAAGUAUUUUUAACUUACUAUAGAUUAUUUGUGUUAUAAUUUAUACCAUGAUGACAUUCGGGUACACUGCAAUAAUGUAGAUGUUACAAAAUGCCUUUUGUGAUUGUUUAGGUCUAUACUUGUAUUGUUGUACAUGAUGUAUAGGCCUAGCAAAGUAUUGUGUGUUUCAGGUUUCAUCACUCCAAAGACUCGGUUAGGUCAGUUGGUACCUUUAUUAUGUCCUCUAACUGAAUGGUAAGGAUUUACUGUGUUCCUCUGCCUUCUCUGUGGCCUACAAUUGGCUGAAGCCUCACAUAAAAUAUACUUUGUUGGAGGAAUAAAUAACAGAUACACUGACAUCCAACAACAGACUUUUAACAUUUAUCAUCAAGCUAUAAGUACUGUUUAAUGUGUGCCUGAUAUAUAGAGAAGGAUUCCAAACACCCUAGAUAACUUGUAUUAUUGAGGUCUAACACUGAAAUGUUUUAUACAAGCUUAGAAUAGAAAUGUUCUCCAAAGAAAGGUUAUUGGAAAAAACCAACACAAUAGGCUUAUUAUAUUUGGAUAACAUUUAUUCCAAUAGGGCAAGCUUCCAUCUAGCUUGUUUAUCUUUCUGCACCUGGUUAGUGCAAAUCGAGCAGGCCAUGUUUGGCCGCUCAUGGCUGGCUAUAAGUUACAGUUGUGGGAUCGCACAACGUUACACGAUGUGCGGUGUGUGAAUGAUGUGUGCACGAAGUGCGAAUGAU